GCAACAUCGGUCCAAUCCUUAAAGUCAUCCUCAGUUCGGACUGGGGUCUGCAACCCGACCCCACGAAGCUGGAUUCGCUAGUAAUCGCGCAUCAGCCAUGGCGCGGUGAAUACGUUCCCGGGCCUUGUACACACCGCCCGUCAAGCCAUGAAAGCCGGGGGGCGCCUGAAGUCCGUGACCGCGAGGGUCGGCCUAGGGUGAAACCGGUGAUUGGGGCUAAGUCGUAACAAGGUACC
rnacentral:rRNA from 1 species